AUGUCAAAGGUCACAUAUUUAUUUUCAACAAAAAUACAAAGAAAACUCAACAAAUAUGCUUCAAACGCCCUUCUUCCAUUCAACUCCCUUCAUCUAUCACAGAGCAUUAUCUCCAUCCUAUUCACAACCACAAACCACACCGAUUCAUCACCGUAUUUGAAACUCACCUACUGGUCAUGUAAAUCUUCAUCUUCUACAACCGUGAACCUCCAUCCGCAAUUUCCAGGCACAUAA